UGACUAAUUUAUUUGAACUAUAU
rnacentral:piRNA from 1 species